UACAGAGGCCCCAAGCGUUACUGAGAAUCACUGGGUUUAAAGGGUGCGUAGGUGGCGCGUUAAGUCCGUUGUGAAAGCCCUGGGCUCAACCCAGGAACUGCUUCGGAUACUGGCGCGCUUGAGGCUAGUAGGGGUCACUGGAACUGACGGUGGAGCGGUGAAAUGCGUAGAUAUCGGAAGGAACAUCAGUGGCGAAAGCGACUUCCUGGACCAGUACCGACGUUCAGGCACGAAAGCGUGGGGAGCAAACAGG
rnacentral:rRNA from 1 species